AACGUAGGGGCCAAGCGUUAUCCGGAAUUACUGGGCGUAAAGCGCGUGCAGGCGGCGUUCUAAGUCGGACGUGAAAGCUCCUGGCUCAACUAGGAGAGGUCGUUCGAAACUGGAGCGCUCGAGGAUGGUAGAGGCGAGUGGAAUUCCCGGUGUAGUGGUGAAAUGCGUAGAGAUCGGGAGGAACACCAGUGGCGAAAGCGGCUCGCUGGGCCAGACCUGACGCUCAGACGCGAAAGCUAGGGGAGAGAACGGG
rnacentral:misc_RNA from 1 species